AGCGAACGCUGGCGGCAGGCUUAACACAUGCAAGUCGAGCGGGCGUAGCAAUACGUCAGCGGCAGACGGGUGAGUAACGCGUGGGAACGUACCUUUUGGUUCGGAACAACACAGGGAAACUUGUGCUAAUACCGGAUAAGCCCUUACGGGGAAAGAUUUAUCGCCGAAAGAUCGGCCCGCGUCUGAUUAGCUAGUUGGUGAGGUAACGGCUCACCAAGGCGACGAUCAGUAGCUGGUCUGAGAGGAUGAUCAGCCACAUUGGGACUGAGACACGGCCCAAACUCCUACGGGAGGCAGCAGUGGGGAAUAUUGGACAAUGGGCGCAAGCCUGAUCCAGCCAUGCCGCGUGAGUGAUGAAGGCCCUAGGGUUGUAAAGCUCUUUUGUGCGGGAAGAUAAUGACG
rnacentral:rRNA from 1 species